rnacentral:lncRNA from 1 species
UUUUUUUUUUUUUUUUGGUCUUUUUAGGUCCACACCUGCAGCAUAUGGAGGUUCCCAGGCUAGGGGCUGAAUGGGAGCUGCAGCUGCCGGCCUCCAUCACAGCCACAGCAAUGCCAGAUCUUAGCCAUGUCUGCGACCUACACCACAGGUCACGGCAACACCAGAUCCUUAACCCACUGAGUGAGGCCAGGGAUCGAACUCAUGUCCUCAUGGCUACUAGUCAGGUUGGUUAACCAUGGAGCCAUGAUGGGAACUCCUAAAUAGUUGAUUUUUAAUUUUAGUUUCAGGUGCAUAAAACAGAGAUUCAAAACUCUUAUAGAAUACACUCCAUUUAAAGUUGUUAUAAAGUAACUAUAUUCUCAGUGCUGUACAAUAUAUCCUUGUGGCUAAGCCCCUACUUAAACUCCUGCCCCCUACCUUGCCCCUUCCUCCUCCUCUCUCCCACUGGAAACUACUAGCUUGUUCUCAUUAUCUGGAAGUCUGUUUCUGUUUUGUUACAUUCACAUGUUUACUUUUCAGAUGCUACAUGUAACUGGUAACAUACAGUAUUUGUCUUUCUCUGACUUAUUUCACUAAGCAUAAUACCCUCCAGGUCAAUCUAUGUUGUUUUAAAUGGUAGAAUCCUCUCCUUGUUCUAGGCUAAUAUUCCAUUGUAUGUAUGUAUGCAUGUAUGUAUGUGUUAGUAUACACACCCCACAUCUUUGUUAUCCUUUAAAUUGUUAAGUGAUACGAAGUUUGCUUCCAUAUCUUGGUAAUUGUAAAUAAUAUUUCCAUAAACUUUAGGGUGCAUGUGGAGUUGUCCUGGCUCAGCGGUUAACGAACCCAACUAGGAUCCAUGAGGAUGCGGGUUUGAUUCCUGGCCUCGUUCAGUGGGUUAAGGAUCUGCCAUUGCCAUGAGCUGUGGUGUAGGUCACAGAUGCAGCUCAGAGCCCUUGUUGCUGUGGCCGUGGAGUAGGCUGGUGGCUAGAGCUCCCAUUGGACCCCUAGCCUGGGAACUUCCAUGUGCCACAGGUGCAGCCCUAAAAACAAACAAACAAACAAAAACUUUAGGGUGCAUGUAUCUUUUUCUAUUACUACUUUCACUUUUUUUUCUGGAUAUAUAUCCAGGAGUGGAAUUGCUGGAUUAUAUAGUAGUUCUACUUUUACUUUGCUGGGGAACCGCCAUCUUGUUUUUCGUAUUGGCGGCAAUAAAUUUACAUUACCACCAACAGUAGGAGGGUUCCCUUUUCUCCACAUCCUCACCAACUUUUAUUAUUUGCAGACUUGAUGAUAGCCAUUCUGACAGGUGAGGUGAUACAUCAUUGUGGUUUUGGAUUUCCAAAUAUUUUCUCCCAUCUCAUAAUUUACCUUUUUGUUGAUGGUCUCCUCUGCUAUGCAAAAGCUUUUAAAUUUAAUGAGGUCCCAUUUGUUUAUUUUGUUUUAUCUUUGCCUGGAGAGAUACAUUCAAGAAAAUAUUGCUACAAUUUAUGUCAAAAGAGUGUUCUGCCUAUGUUAUCUUGGAGGAGUUUUAUGGUUCCUGGUUUUACAGAUCCAUUUUGAGUUUACUUUUGUAUGUGGUAUUAGAGAAUGUUCUAAUUUCAUUCUUUUACAUGUACCUGUCCAGUUUUCCCAGCAUGACUUAUUGAGGAGACUGUCUUUUCUCCAUUGUAUAUUCUUGCCUCUUAUGUCAUACAAUAAUUGACCAUAAAGGUAUGGGUUUAUUUCUGGGUUUUCUAUCCUGUUCUAUUUAUCUAUAUGUCUGUUUCUGGGCCAGUACCAUAGUGUUUUGAUGUCUGUAGCUUUGUAGUAUAUUCUGAAGUCAGGGAGCCUGAUAGCUCCAGCUCUGUUGUUCUUUCUCAGGAUUUCUUUGGCUAAUCAGGUUUGUGUUUGCAUACAAAUUUUAGAAUUAUUUGUUCUAGUUCUGUGAAAAAUGUCAUUGGUAUUUUGAUAGAGUGUGCAUGGAGUCUGUAGAUUGCCUUGGAUAGUAUGGCCAUCUUAACUCUAUUAAUUCUUCCAACCCAGGAACACGGUCUAUCUUUCCAUCUGUUUGUGUCAUCUUCAAUUUAUUUCAUCAGUGUCUUAGAGUUUUCUGAAUAUAGGUCUUUUACUACCUUAGUUAGAUUUAUUCCUAGGUAUUUUACUCUUUUUCAUUUAAUGGUAAGUGAGAGCAUCUUUUAAUCUUCCUCCUAGCUUCAUAUAUGGUUGAUUUACUAUCUUCACUAUACAUUUACCUUACCAGUGAGUUUUUCCCUGCCAGAAUUUUCAUGUUUCUUGCUGUGGUCUUUUCCUUUUCAUAUAGAUAAGUCCCUUUAACCUUUUUUUUAAUUUCCUUUUCUUUUUUCUUUUUAGGGCUACAUCUGUGGCACAUGGAAGUUACCAGGCUAGGGGUUGAAUCAGAUAUAGCUGCUAGCCUAUGCCACAGCAACACAGGAUCAACCUACACCACGGAUCACGGCAAUCCUUAACCCACUAAGCAAGGCCAGGGAUUUAACCCACAUCCUCAUGAAUAAUAUUUGGGUUUGUAACUUGCUGAGCCACUAUGGGAACACCCCCCAACAUUUCUUAUAAAGCUGGCUUGAUGGUUCUGAACUCUUUUAGCUUUUGCUUGUGUGUACAACUUUUGAUUUCUCCAUCAACUCUAAGUGAAAGCUGUGUCAGGUAGAGUGUUCUUGGUUGCUGGUUUUUCCCUUUUGUCUCUUUAAAUAUAUCAUGCUACUCCCUUCUGGUCUGCAGAGUUUCUGGGAAAAGUCAGCUGAUAGCCCUAGGGGAGAUCUCUUGUAUGCAACUUGUUGCUUUUCUCUUGCUACUUUUAAUAUUCUCUUUAAUUUUUGCCAUUUUAAUUACAAUGUAUCUUGGUAUGGACGUCUUUGAGUUAAUCCUAUUUGGAACUCAGUGAUUCCUGAACCUGGAUAUGUUUCCUUUCUCAGGGAAGUUUUCAGCUGCUGUGUCUUCAAAUAUGUUCUCUGCCCCUUUUUCUUAUUCUUCUCCUCCUUGUAUUCCAAUAACAUGAAUUUUAUUAUGCUUAAUGUUAUUCCAGAGGUCUCUUAACUGUCCUCAUUUCUCUUUAUUCUUUUUUUCUGUUCAGCUUCAGUGAUUUCCACUAUUCUGUCUCCCAGCUCACUGACUCAUUCCUCUGCAUUAUUUAAUCUCCUUUUGAUUCCUUAUGGUGUAUUUUUUAUUUCAGUUAUUGUAUUCAACUGUAUUUUCUACCUCUUUGUUAAGUUUUGCACUGUGACCAUUCCUUCUUCUCCUGAGUUCUUUGAGCAUCUUUAUAAUCACUGCCCUGAACUCUUCACCAGAUAGAUUGCUUAUCUCCACCUCCCUUUGUUCUUCUUAGGGGGUUUUUAUCAUGUUCCUUUGUUUGGAACACAUUCCUCUGUCACCUCAUUUUGCCAAAUUUUCUGUUUUUAUUUAAAUGUAUUAGGUAGGCCAGUUUUGUUUCAUGAUCUUGGAGGAGUGGGCUAGGUAGGAAAUGUCCUAUGUGGCUCAGAAGGAUGCGCCCCUCUGAUCAUGAGAGCUUUAUGCUUUAGGGGUGUCUCCUACAUGGCAGGUGCCUCUGUUGUGGCAGACUGACUACUGUAGGUGGUCUGGUGGGCACAGCUGGUCCCUGGUCUAGUUGGCUUCUAGGUCUUGAUUAGUGUGGAGGCCACUAGCUGAUGGUUGGCAGGACUGGGUCACAAAGCACCUGGUUCAUUGGUGGGUGGACUCAAGUCCCAUGAUCUAGGGCUGCACAGCCCUGGAGCUGAUGCUGUCCUGUUGGUGAUCAGGGCUGGUUCCUGACACAGCUGGCUGUGGGGUCUGUGGUGAGUGGAACUGGGUCCCAGGGUAGCUCUCUCAGGAGUUCAAGUUACCAGAGUUGGUGUUGGGCUUCUAGUCAGCUGGGCUGGGGUCCUCUGGUGGAUAGGGCUCUGUCCCGGGGUGGAUGUGAGCUCAGAGGUUCUUAAGGCAGCGUGCCUGCUGGUGGGUGAGACUGUGACCUGGCCUGGCUAGUUACUUGGCAUGAGGUGUCAUGGUACUGGAGCUGAUAGGCUGGUGUAUGGGACUGAGUCUCAGUGCUUGGGAGUUAGUUAGAAGGAGGAUUUUAAAACAGCACUUGCCAGCUCCAGUGUCCACAUGGUUGAACAAAGUCCCCCAAAUGGUUGCUGCCAGAGUCUGUGUUCACAGGGUGAGCUCUGGUUACCUCUUUCCUUUCCAGAAAACUCUCCAAGAUCAGCAGGUGGGGUCUGACCCAGGCUCCUUUCUAAUUACUGCUUCUGCCCUGGGUCCCAGAGUCUGUGAGAUUUUGUGUCUGCCCUCUGGGAAUGGGCUAUUUCCCACUGCCCUCUGGCUCUCCUAAAAAUGAGCCCUAAUGGCCUUCAAAGUCAAAUGUUCUAGGGCUCAUCUUCCUGGUGUAGGACCCUGGGGCUGGGGAGCUCAAUGUGGGGCUUGGGCUGUUGCUCUUUGGGGAGAACCCCUGCAGUAGCAAUUAUCCUCCCAUUUCUGCAUUGCCCAUCCAGGCAUGUGGGUCUUGACUAUACUGUGACUCCACCCCUCCUACCUGCCUUUGUAUCUUUAGUUGAAGAAGAUCUUUACUGCUCAGUUCCUCCAUAAAUAGUUCUAAUUUCACUGUGCCUGUAGCAGGAGGUGAGCUCAUGGUGUUCUUACUCCACCAUUUCUUUCUUGACUAACCAAUCUCCUUGUUUCUCAAUUAAGUGAGCUCUCUUGUAGUCUCAAUGGUUCCUUCACUGAUGACUUUAAUAGAAUUUUGAGAAGCAUAUGUUAUACAGUGUUAUCAGGAAAAAGGAAAAAUUCUAAUUUUAAUUUGAAUCUAAUUUUAAUCACUAAAUGCAAUAGUUCUUCAAUUGAAAAGUUGAACAAGUCAAGAUACAUUCAAGUUCAAUAUUUAUUCCAGUAAUGCCCAUAAAAUAGGAAUGUUCAUGAUUAAGGCCACUGUUGACUUUUUGUUGUUAUUUAUGGUCAUAGCGAAAAGAAACAUCUUUUUAAUGCACCCACAGGAUAUGGAAAUUGCUGGGCUAGGGACUGAAUCCAGGCUGCAACUGUAAACUACACUACAGCUACAGCAACACUGGAUCCUUGAAUCAACUGCACUGGGGCAGAGAUCAAAUUGGUGCCACUGCAGUCUGGUUCUUAAAAGACUGUGUCAUAGUAGGACCUCCAAGAAACAUUUGUAGCUUAAAAAGGCUAUACAUAUCCAUUCCCUAGCUCCUACAGCAAUUUCACUCUAUGCCUUUGUGGGGGUAAACAUAUUAAUGAAUUUUUGUUUAGGAGGGAUGGGAGAGUCAAAAUGUUGAACUAAACUGCUCUUGAAGAAUGAUAUAAAAUCACUGAUUUUUUUUUUUUUAAAUCUCAGAUUUUAGAAAAAUUUCCUUGUUAGAGUAUGGCCUCUGAAUUAUUUUUUAAUACCUUGUAAUAAAGAGUUCAAUUUCCAGUCCUACUUGUUAGGAGCUUGGAAGUCUUUACUUUGUUUUAACAGUAAGUUACGAAAAAUGAAC